ensembl:lncRNA
UACAUUUAUGCCAAAUUUGUUUUUAGGCCAACUCAUAUUAAGAUCCUACAUCAAGGAACCCCCCCCCCCCAUCAUUUGAUUCCUGAGAGCAAGAACAGUUCAAUUCCAAAAUAUGAAAGUGCAGCAUGGCUACUGCAGGGACAUCAACUCACUUGCUGAGAUUUGUGACCAUUUUGCUCAUGAACGUUUGUGUGAUGGACUCACAAGGAUUGCCUGAACCUACAGAUGUCAUUGUACAGACUGAUGGAGAACUCAAAACAGAAAAACUAGAAUACACUAUAACUUUAUCAAUGACCAUAGAUACAACAUUUGACAACACACUCACGAACAAAAACAGUCAAAUGUACCAAAAAUACAGCAAAGACAUCACAAGUUCAGUUGACGGUGCUUACAGUGGCAAACUUUCUUCAUACAAAGCUCAUUCUGCGAAAGUUAUUCAGUUCAGGCCUGGCAGUGUGGUAGCAGACUUCACUAUUGCAUCAACAAGAAAUACACUUGAUUUUAGUGCUGCAAACAGACAAUUAGCUUCUGCUCUCAGAGACAAAGGAUAUAGCGUAAAUGAAAAUUCAUUCGCUCAAACUGUGGAAAACGGCUUAUAUGAUCCAAGCAAAGGCAACAUUUACCCUGGAAAAAAUAUGGUUUUGACCUGUAAUCCUCCAGCCUUAAGUACUGGAGGAAUAACCUGGAGUUUUAAUGAUAUUAUCAUUGGAAGUAGUCCUGCCUAUCUAAUCAGCGCUGACAGAAAAACAAUCACUGUGGAAAACACCAGUGAUCGGCUCAGUGGUAAAUACGCAUGUACAACGACCUUAAACUCAGUUCCCUACAUAAUCUGGCAAAGGAUAGUAAUUCAGCCAUUGCCCAAUAUCAGAGUGACCACCUCAAAAACUGUGUACUGUGAUGGAUCACCAAUCACACUGGAGUGCUGCGCUGAGAACAGCUACAUGACUAAGUGGAGCCUGUUCACUUCAUCUGGACUGCAGACGCUAACAGACCCAAAGACAGGCUGCAGCUCAUAUCCGUACCCAGGUUUCAGUGAAGCGGACUGUAAGGAUGGAGACCAAAUUGUGACUUUCCUUUGGGAAAUCUAUGACCUCAAUGAAAACCUUAGCAGUUCAAACAACGUCAGAAUUGCUGCAACUGGAAAAAGGUGGGACUGCUACAAUGCACAAUAUGGAGCUGGAGAAUUAGGUGACCUACAGACGAGCCCUUGUGAUGCGGAUAGCAUUGGC